AGCUUUUUUAGUUGACCGCUGCAAUUGCAAGGUGUUUUUUUGCAAAAAGUAAGUACAAAAAACAAACGGAAAUUCAUUAAGUCUGAUACCAUCCUUCUACGUUUCAGAAAUUGUAAUGAAGGUAAGUUUGUAAGAAGGGUAAAUUAUUUUUAAAGCAAUUUAAUAAUAUAAGCAUUUCAAACAAUCCCGAAAGCAAAUAAAAAAUCCAUUUGCAAAAAAUUUUAAUUCACUGAUAGGAGCGUAAGCUUCUGUUAAGAAGACAUAACAUUCUGUUAAAUUGUGAUUAAAUUGCUUAAUUCAAACCGACUUAUCAGCAAAUAUAUGGCUGUUAAAUAUGUACAUGUGUUUGGUUAUACAUGAUGUUGUUUUUCGCAUUUUUAAGAUUGCGACUUUAAUGGAAGUGAUUCAAUCUUUAUUUGCUCAGCUCAAGAACAGGCAGCAAUGACAGUCGUUAAAUCUUUUGAAAUUAUAAUGCAUAGAUUUCGGACUAUAGUGCCAUAAACGUUUGUUAAUUCCCAAACAAUUUUUAUUAAUUUCUUCUAAUUUGCAGCCUCUAGCAAAAGAACUUGGAAAACACAUGAUUCAACAAAGGUUAGUCUAGAUACUACGCAAGACAAAACGGCCGGGAUCAGACGACUAAAUGAUGUAGCUGCCAGAAAAAGUUAAACAAUUUUGCUGAUCAAGAAUUUAACUUCUUCUCUGCGUUACUCAGGAGCAAAAUUAAAACACUUUCAACUUGUGAAUCACAAUCAAAUAUAUUUAUUGUUGUGCAGUAUUUUAAUUAUAUUCUGUUAAAAACAAAAUUAAGUGAAAAGUACGUUUGUAUUCCAGGGCCUCUUCAGCAAAAAUUAAUGUAGGCUAUGGUGUAACUUAAAUAAAAACAAGAAAGGAAGCCAACUUCGACAAGCCAAUUUCAUAUACCCUUGCAGCUAUUAAAUAUUCUUUAUUUUUCCGAUUGUUCCUAUGGGAGCUAUAUGCUAUAGUCGUCCGAUUUUGAUUAAGCUUAAACCGUAGUUCUGAAAUAUUUAACCACUACUAUAUGUCGAAAGACUAAAAAAAAACUUAAAAACAACAAAGUUAUAAUUUUUUUUCAUUUAUUUUUCAGAUUGUUCCUAAGGGAGCUAUAUGCUAUAGUCGUCCGAUCCGGCUCGUUCCGACUCAUAAACUACCUUCAAUAGAAAGACAACUUUUGGAAAAGUUUCAUGCAGAUAGCUUUAAAACUGAGAGACUAGUUUGUGUAGAAAGGGACGGACAGACGGACGGACAGACGGACAUGGCUAAAUCGACUCGCCUAGUGAUGCAGAUCAAGAAUAUAUAUACUUUAUAAGGUCGAAAAUGCCUCCUUCACUGCGUUGCAAACUUCUGACUGAAAUUAUAAUACCCUCUGCAAGGGUAUAAAAAUUGAUGAUUGAAAGAUGGCCUAGAUCGUGGAGAAGUCACAUAUAAUGGCUGCUUGUGCUUCUACUGGUCAGAAAGACAAGAAGAUGAGCUGGCUCUUUGAACAAAGCUUGGAUUUUCAAGGCUAUUCUAUGUAACACCCACACUUUCCUGGGGUAUACAUUUUUGGGACCUUCCAUAAAACUUAUUAUUAUUAUAAUAUACUAGCUAAAAUUUGAUCAGACAUGGUAAACGCCACAACAUACUAUACACGAAUCGCGACCAUUUUGUCGAGAUCUCAUUAUAACCCCGGAAUGUACAUUUCCGGCUCUAUAAAGUAUAUAUAUAUUCAGCAUCACUAGGAAAGUCGA